AUGCUUGUAGAGAUGUGUAUUUACUUUGGUGGUAAGAGGCAUGUGGGAAACGUCAGAAUCAAGACUAGAAGAAUAUGUCUCUCUACAAUACCAUUGUUUUUGUUUGGGCAAAGAGGAGUACAUCCAGGAUUGAAUAAGAGCAGCACUAGUGGACACAAGCCAACAGUCAGUCUACCCAGACCCCAAGGCACCCGCAGCACAGCCCUCCUUUUGCGUAUGAUGCCAGCUACAUAGAGGAUCCUACAGGAGGAAGGAAAAACCCACAUUUGCUUUAUAGCAGGGGAUACUGGUGCUGUGGAGAGACCCAUGUGGAAAGGAACUGAGGACUCCGGGCAAAAGUCACCGAGGACUGAGGUUGCUGACAGUUGCAUGUGAACAACUUGGAAGCAGAUUGAUCCUUGCCCAAGCCCACACUUUGUCUACAGCCUUGGCGAGAGACCCUGAGCCAGGGAUGCACAUCCAAGCUGCACCCAAACUCUUGACCCACAGAAACUGUGAGACAAUGAAUGUGUUUAAGUCCCCAUAUCGUGGAGUCAUUUAUUACACAGCAAGAGAUGGCUAAGACGAGCACUAUUUUUAUCUCCUUUUGAGUUCAUGGCUUGGUCUCUCUACCUCCCGCUGACUAAAUGUGGCUAAAGCAAAAUCCUAUAACCAGCUGUCUCUGAACAAUAUUACCUGAAUGCCUGCUGUUUACUAGCAUGGGAGAAAUUUAAAAGAGUUUAUGAGGGAAAUAGCCACAGUGAGGCAGAGGAUUUACGUGCAGGGAAGGCUUCAUUCUGGCAAAUUACCCAGGGCAGACCUUGCCUCCUUCACUGUCUAAAAUAUCCAAGUCUUAUAGUUUCAAAUCCCCAUCUCUUAUUGUCUGUCUUAUAGCGACCACCCUGACUCCUCAAAUACAGCCACUCCAUUCCCUAUGAGUCUGCUUUUUUUUUUUUUUUUUUUUUCUGAGACAGAGUCUCGCACUGUCGCCCCAGCUGGUAUGCAGUGGCGCAAUCUCGCAAUCUCGGCUGGCUGUAACCUCUGCCUCUCGGGUUCAAGCAAUUCUCCUGCCUCAGCCUCAUGAGUAGCUAGGAUUACAGGCAUCUGCCACCAUGUCCGGCUAAGUUUUUGUAUUUUUAGUAGAGAUGGGGUUUCACUAUGUUGACCAGGCUGUUCUCGAACUCCUAACCUCGUGGUCCGCCCGCCUUGGCCUCCCAAAGUGCUGGGAUUACAGGCGUGAGCCACUGCGCCUGGCCGAGGCUUCUCAGAGAUGGGGCACUUCCUCUAGUUUUCCACUUGACUCUGGUCUUCCUCCUAGUUCCCUUCCUUCCGGGCAGAGGCUG
rnacentral:lncRNA from 1 species